rnacentral:rRNA from 1 species
UACAGAGGUCCCAAGCGUUGUUCGGAUUCAUUGGGCGUAAAGGGUGCGUAGGCGGCUCGGUAAGUCGGGUGUGAAAUCUCGGAGCUUAACUCCGAAACUGCAUUCGAUACUGCCGUGCUUGAGGACUGGAGAGGAGACUGGAAUUUACGGUGUAGCGGUGAAAUGCGUAGAUAUCGUAAGGAAGACCAGUGGCGAAGGCGGGUCUCUGGACAGUUCCUGACGCUGAGGCACGAAGGCCAGGGGAGCAAACAGG